GGAGUCCCUCCCUCUAAAAGCACUCUGUGUGGGGAACAUGAGAGCCAGACCAAAGCUCAGAGGAACCAACCUGGACCUCCACCCAGCUCUGUGUCCAAUAAAAGUAACUCAGUCAAAGAUGUCAUUAAGAGAUUUAAGCAAAGACAGUCAGCUAAGAAAAAGAUCCAUCAGAGACUCGAACCUGGACCUCCACCCAGCUCUGUGUCCUUACAGAGUGACCAGUCUAAACAUGCUGGUAUUGACUUUAAAUCAGGCGUGUGUGGUCCUGCAGAGAGGUAAUGUGUGUGUAAAUGUUGUUGUGUGUUUGUGAAUAAAUCCUCCAUCAUGUUUAAUGUCAGCUCUGUUUCACACACAUGUUCAUAUGUGCAGUGGUGUGUGUUGGAGUGUUUCCACAAACACAGCAGAUACUCAGAGAUUAUUUUUAGGAAGGGGAGAUGUUCUCAAACUCUGUCCUGAAACUCUUCACUCAGUCUGAUCCCCACUUCCUGCU